GGGGCGAACACAAGGGAGGACUGAUUAGAGUGAAACAAAUGUGCAUUUAUAGCCCACUUUUACAUGGUUCAUGGAAUACACUGGAAUAGAUCCACUUGGAGACAUAAUACUUUAAAAACAGCUCAGUAAACACUGAUGAGAGAAAUUUCACUUUGGCAUAAUAAGUACUCCUCGAUAUGUAAUACUACCUUUGCAUCAUUUUAAUUAAAGAUUUAUUAUAUAGUUUAAAUUUCAAGACUCCACCGGAGAGAUCCAUAAGAAAGCACAGAAUUUUAUUUGCGGACUAACUGCAGUAUUAUAUAUUAUAGUGCUGUAUUGCUCCAUUACUCUAUCUCUGACUAAACUAGAGAUGGUAAUAGUUUUGCUUAGGAUCUCCCGCUAGAGUUCUGCCUUGUACUCUGUAACGUUAGUUGGAUGCUAUGCAGAAAGCCUCGCUGGAUAAACAUUUUGUUACCAAAACUAUUAAAAUCAACACUUAUUCUGUUUUGGGUAGCGUUAGCGUAUCACAUACAAACGAAAAACGGACUUUAAAUCUAUAUGGGGAUGAAAUUCCCUUGUUAAAAUAAUUAAGCCUGGUUUAGGAAAAGCAUUCUCUCAAUAACGUUGCUGUAUUGUUACGAUACUUUCAGUUCAUUAAAGCUGAUUGUCGAAAACCAACCACCGCUAUAUAUACUGUCGCCUAGCAACCAUUAGGACUUCACGCUAAACAAAAUUUACUAAUACUAAUAAUGUUACUAACCUAACGUUCCAUGUGUUUUAUGAAAUCUGCUGUCGAUUAAAUGAAGACAGCCUGCUGGCUUGAAAUUUCUCACUGCCCUGCAGAGCUGUGCUGUUUGGACAAGAGAGGAGGCUUCCCACCAAACUGCUCAUUAACAGGCUUCAGGGAGGUCGUGACCUAGAAAGAAGGAGAGUGACUCCACACAAAUUUGGACACCAGCAGCAGCUCUUUGCACAAAAGUUUGUCUUCUCAUCCAAAUGCUCUGCUCUCGACAGCAGUGCCCUGGAAAAACAAGGAAUGGCACACUUGUUUACUCCUCCUCAUCUGUGUGUG